GAGCAAAGAAGUGCAUAUGAAUUUAACUGAGGAGCAAAAAAUCGCAAUUGAAAAGCUUUUCAAGCAAAAAGGAUGGUCAAGUCCGAUUAAAUGUGAAGAAUCAAGUGACCUGGAAAGAAGUUUUAAGAAGAUGGAUCUUUUGGAAACGGAUGGAAUAGAAGAUACACAGUGUGACCUGACUGACCAUAAGGCUGGCCACAGUACGGACUAGAAACCUGCCUAUAGGUCUUUAAGAAUGACGUAUCUGAUGGGAAGACUUCAUGAGUUAGAGCUCAGUCUGUCUCAUUAAACUGCAGAUAUAACAAGGGG